rnacentral:rRNA from 1 species
UACGUAGGGUGCGAGCGUUAUUCGGAAUUACUGGGCGUAAAGCGCGCGUAGGCGGUUCGUUAAGUUGGAUGUGAAAUCCCCGGGCUCAACCUGGGAACUGCAUUCAAAACUGUCGAGCUAGAGUAUGGUAGAGGGUGGUGGAAUUUCCUGUGUAGCGGUGAAAUGCGUAGAUAUAGGAAGGAACACCAGUGGCGAAGGCGACCACCUGGACUGAUACUGACACUGAGGUGCGAAAGCGUGGGGAGCAAACAGG